rnacentral:rRNA from 1 species
CAGAGAUGNNUUGGUGCCUUCGGGAACUCUGAGACAGGUGCUGCAUGGCUGUCGUCAGCUCGUGUUGUGAAAUGUUGGGUUAAGUCCCGCAACGAGCGCAACCCUUAUCCUUUGUUGCCAGCGGUCCGGCCGGGAACUCAAAGGAGACUGCCAGUGAUAAACUGGAGGAAGGUGGGGAUGACGUCAAGUCAUCAUGGCCCUUACGAGUAGGGCUACACACGUGCUACAAUGGCGCAUACAAAGAGAAGCGACCUCGCGAGAGCAAGCGGACCUCAUAAAGUGCGUCGUAAUCCGGAUUGGAGUCUGCAACUCGACUCCAUGAAGUCGGAAUCGCUAGUNAUCGUAGAUCAGAAUGCUACGGUGAAUACGUUCCCGGGUCUUGUACACACCG